rnacentral:lncRNA from 1 species
AGGUGCAGCUGACCCACGAGGUAGACCGUCUCCGCUCCGAGUGCGAUAGCCUCCGCAAGCAGUUGCAGCAGUCGCACUAUGAGAGUUUGGGAGCGCUCGGCAGUCCAGCGAGGUUCCCGUUGACGUCUAACUCCAUGCUGUCGAACACGCUGCCGUCGGCUCUCUCUGUCGGAAGCCUCUCUUCUUACAGCCGCUGCGACCGGAUGGACGGCUACGAGUCGGACUCGGCGACUGUCGUCCGGCGGCCCCGUAGAGGGCGUUACCCGCUACGAGACGAACCGAGCAAGCAGGUGCAGACACUAAACGAGCAGGAGUGGGAGAAGAUCCAACAAGCGCACGUGCUCGCCAACGUGCAGCA